rnacentral:rRNA from 1 species
UACAGAGGGGGCAAGCGUUAUUCGGAAUUACUGGGCGUAAAGGGCUCGUAGGCGGCCCACUAAGUCAGACGUGAAAUCCCUCGGCUUAACCGGGGAACUGCGUCUGAUACUGGAGGGCUUGAGUUUGGGAGAGGGAUGCGGAAUUCCAGGUGUAGCGGUGAAAUGCGUAGAUAUCUGGAGGAACACCGGUGGCGAAGGCGGCAUCCUGGACCAACACUGACGCUGAGGAGCGAAAGCCAGGGGAGCGAACGGG